rnacentral:rRNA from 1 species
UGGGGAAUUUUGGACAAUGGGCGAAAGCCUGAUCCAGCAAUGCCGCGUGUGUGAAGAAGGCCUUCGGGUUGUAAAGCACUUUUGUCCGGAAAGAAAUCCUUGGCUCUAAUACAGUCGGGGGAUGACGGUACCGGAAGAAUAAGCACCGGCUAACUACGUGCCAGCAGCCGCGGUAAUACGUAGGGUGCAAGCGUUAAUCGGAAUUACUGGGCGUAAAGCGUGCGCAGGCGGUCUGCUAAGACCGAUGUGAAAUCCCCGGGCUCAACCUGGGAACUGCAUUGGUGACUGGCAGGCUAGAGUAUGGCAGAGGGGGGUAGAAUUCCACGUGUAGCAGUGAAAUGCGUAGAGAUGUGGAGGAAUACCGAUGGCGAAGGCAGCCCCCUGGGCCAAUACUGACGCUCAUGCACGAAAGCGUGGGGGAGCAAACAGGAUUAGAUACCCUGGGUAGUCCACGCCCUAAACGAUGUCAACUAGUUGUUGGGGAUUCAUUUCCUUAGUAACGUAGCUAACGCGUGAAGUUGACCGCCUGGGGGAGUACGGUCGCAAGAUUAAAACUCAAAUGAAUUGACGGGGUCAUA